rnacentral:rRNA from 1 species
CGAACGCUGGCGGCGUGCCUAAUACAUGCAAGUCGAGCGAGCGGAACUAACAGAUUUACUUCGGUAAUGACGUUAGGAAAGCGAGCGGCGGAUGGGUGAGUAACACGUGGGGAACCUGCCCCAUAGUCUGGGAUACCACUUGGAAACAGGUGCUAAUACCGGAUAAGAAAGCAGAUCGCAUGAUCAGCUUUUAAAAGGCGGCGUAAGCUGUCGCUAUGGGAUGGCCCCGCGGUGCAUUAGCUAGUUGGUAAGGUAAAGGCUUACCAAGGCGAUGAUGCAUAGCCGAGUUGAGAGACUGAUCGGCCACAUUGGGACUGAGACACGGCCCAAACUCCUACGGGAGGCAGCAGUAGGGAAUCUUCCACAAUGGACGCAAGUCUGAUGGAGCAACGCCGCGUGAGUGAAGAAGGUUUUCGGAUCGUAAAGCUCUGUUGUUGGUGAAGAAGGAUAGAGGUAGUAACUGGCCUUUAUUUGACGGUAAUCAACCAGAAAGUCACGGCUAACUACGUG